rnacentral:rRNA from 1 species
CGGAGGAAAAGAAACCAACAGGGAUUGCCCCAGUAACGGCGAGUGAAGCGGCAACAGCUCAAAUUUGAAAUCUGGCUCUCGGGCCCGAGUUGUAAUUUGUAGAGGAUGCUUUUGGUGAGGUGCCUUCCGAGUUCCCUGGAACGGGACGCCAUAGAGGGUGAGAGCCCCGUCUGGUUGGACGCCGAACCUCUGUAAAGCUCCUUCGACGAGUCGAGUAGUUUGGGAAUGCUGCUCUAAAUGGGAGGUAUAUGUCUUCUAAAGCUAAAUACCGGCCAGAGACCGAUAGCGCACAAGUAGAGUGAUCGAAAGAUGAAAAGAACUUUGAAAAGAGAGUUAAACAGUACGUGAAAUUGUUGAAAGGGAAGCGCUUGUGACCAGACUUGGGCUUGGUUGAUCAUCCGGGGUUCUCCCCGGUGCACUCUUCCGGCUCAGGCCAGCAUCAGUUCGCCCUGGGGGAUAAAGGCAUCGGGAACGUGGCUCUCUCCGGGGAGUGUUAUAGCCCGUUGCGUAAUACCCUGUGGCGGACUGAGGUUCGCG